GAAAUGCGAUAAGUAGUGUGAAUUGCAGAAUUCAGUGAAUCAUCGAAUCUUUGAACACACAUUGCGCCCUUUGGUAUUCCUUAGGGCAUGCCUGUUCGAGCGUCAUCUAAACCUUCAAGCCCUGCUUGGUGUUGGGUGCCUGUCCCGCCUCCGCGCGCGGACUCACCUCAAAUCCAUUGGCGGCCCCCGCGUCGGCCACGAGCGCAGCAGAAACGCGAACUCGUGAGCCCGUCCGGGCGGCUCCCAGAAGCUACACCCACCCAGUUGACCUCGGAUCAGGUAGGGAUACCCGCUGAACUUAAGC
rnacentral:misc_RNA from 1 species